GUAGCUGUCAAGAGUUCCAGGCUUGAGGAUGAAUAAAUAAAAAUCCCUUCCAUUUCUCCACAGGCUAUUCCCAAAGAAUUGAAUCUAUGGAUUCAUUCAGGCAGCAAGUUAAUCCAUCAUUUAAGGAAAAUGAAUUGAUUUCAUCCACAAGAAUAUGAAGUGAUGGAAAUAAUUUGCACUUGCUCAGUAUUCCUUAUAAAGCCUA